AUUCCCUGGUGAUGAUGGGUAAAGAGACACCUUGUUGGUGCUGGUGUUCUUAUAUCAGUCAGGGGCAGAGCUGAUGGCAAUCCUUUGUUCAUCCUAGCUUGAUGCCUGGCUUGGUGGGCAAAGCUGUCUUAUGCCUAGGACUAAUAA